UACAGAGGGUGCGAGCGUUGUUCGGAAUCAUUGGGCGUAAAGCGCUUGUAGGCGGCUUGUUAAGUCGCGUGUGAAAUCCCUUGGCUCAACCAAGGAAGUGCGCGCGAAACUGGCGAGCUCGAGUGCCGGAGAGGGUCGCGGAAUUCCCGGUGUAGAGGUGAAAUUCGUAGAUAUCGGGAGGAACACCAGUGGCGAAGGCGGCGACCUGGACGGACACUGACGCUGAGACGCGAAAGCGUGGGUAGCAAACAGG
rnacentral:rRNA from 1 species